GAUGAACGCUGGCGGCGUGCCUAAUACAUGCAAGUCGAGCGAACAGACGAGGAGCUUGCUCCUCUGAUGUUAGCGGCGGACGGGUGAGUAACACGUGGAUAACCUACCUAUAAGACUGGGAUAACUUCGGGAAACCGGAGCUAAUACCGGAUAACAUGUUGAACCGCAUGGUUCAACAGUGAAAGACGGUCUUGCUGUCACUUAUAGAUGGAUCCGCGCCGCAUUAGCUAGUUGGUAAGGUAACGGCUUACCAAGGCAACGAUGCGUAGCCGACCUGAGAGGGUGAUCGGCCACACUGGAACUUAGACACGGUCCAGACUCCUACGGGAGGCAGCAGUAGGGAAUCUUCCGCAAUGGGCGAAAGCCUGACGGAGCAACGCCGCGUGAGUGAAGAAGGUCUUCGGAUCGUAAAACUCUGUUAUUAGGGAAGAACAAAUGUGUAAGUAACUAUGCACGUCUUGACGGUACCUAAUCAGAAAGCCACGGCUAACUACGUG
rnacentral:rRNA from 1 species